CCUACGGGAGGCAGCAGUGGGGGAUAUUGGACAAUGGGGGGAACCCUGAUCCAGCGACGCCGCGUGAGUGAAGAAGUAUUUCGGUAUGUAAAGCUCUGUCAGCAGGGAAGAAAGAAAUGACGGUACCUGACCAAGAAGCCCCGGCUAACUACGUGCCAGCAGCCGCGGUAAUACGUAGGGGGCAAGCGUUAUCCGGAAUUACUGGGUGUAAAGGGAGCGUAGACGGUUAAGUAAGUCUGGAGUGACAGGCCGGGGCCCAACCCCGGGACUGCUCUGGAAACUAUUGAACUUGAGUGCAGGAGAGGUAAGCGGAAGUCCUAGUGUAGCGGUGAAAUGCGUAGAGAUUAGGAGGAACACCAGUGGCGAAGGCGGCUUACUGGACUGUAACUGACGUUGAGGCUCGAAAGCGUGGGGAGCAAACAGGAUUAGAUACCCGGGUAGUC
rnacentral:rRNA from 1 species